GCCAAUUUCUUUUAGGUAGUCUCCUAAUGGAUUUAUUUUAAACAGAUCCGCAAUGCAUUUCCGAAGAAAGCAGACAUAGGAUGCUAGUCUUUAAACAUGUUGCUGGAUUCUAUUUGCUAGUCUUCAAUUUAUAAUUUUUGCCUUGUUGCUCAUCACUCAGUGAAGCCUCAAGUUUUCCUCUUUGUUUCAGCAUUUUCUGAUUUAGAUGCUACUGUUGUGCUCACAUGAAAAGUGACUUGGGAAACUUUGCACAUUUCCAUGUUGUCCGGAACAGUGUACGUAAUGUAAAGAUGAUCUCAGUGUUGCAAGCUUGAAAAAAAUUGUCAAUACUACACCGCCACCGGACGGACCAUUCUGUCACGUCCCCAUCACCGUCGCCUCUAUUCCUGCGGCUCAGUUCAAGUGUUACGUUCUUUCAGUUAAUCUUGGUAAUUCCUCUUCCUGGGAAAGAAUGAAUUUCAUAGACAGUUUUAAACACAUUAAUGUGGGUUUAUUCUCAGUGCUGUCUUAUAAAAUGUGAAGUUUAUGUUUGCGGUUGAAUAUUCCUCAUCUUUAGCUUUUCAUCUCGAUGCCGUCUUUUCCCUUUCAUCUAUACGUGCCAAGUAUAUCUGUGUAAUUGUGGUUGAGCUUUUCCCCCCAAAAGUGCCAGCUCUCACAUCGAUCUGAGUGGUUAUAAAGUUCUUCCAGGCGAGGCGUGGGGAACGAAUUCGCAGCAUGAAUCAGGAGAGAAAGAAAUAACGGGCCGUUUCUCUGGCGGAAGGCUCAGUGAGCUCAACUUUGUGAGGUUUCACGGGGUGAGGACAUUGACAAUCUCCACGGCUUGUUGUGACAACGUUGUUUAUGUCUCACACAAUCCUAGACCUCAAAGAAGUCUGUCACUCCAAAUAUGGGACGCAUUAGGAUAAAGUCAUAAAUUGGUGCUAACACUGUGCUUGUUCUGGACAAUUAAGGACCUUUUCUUUACUAUUAUGAUCCUCAUCUGAUGAAAAGAAGCAGAGGAAAUGAAAAGCAUCCCCCCCGCCACCACAACAUUGACUGUCAGAACCGUUCUCAGCAGUAAUCAAAGGAGAGAAAGAGGAAAAAUCACUAAGGUCAACCUUUAGGGACUUGGCUUUCAACUCAUAAUGAAAAGAAAAGGAGGAAAAAAAAACACUGAAGAACAAUAUAAUAAUGGUAAUAACAGCUUCAAUAUUGAGAGAUUAUUAUCCAGUGUGUCAGCCGGACUCCCUUAACCGGAAAAGACUUGAAAAUUAAAAGGCACUGCUUUUAUUGAGAAAACCCUCUGACCUAGAUGUCCUGGCAAUCCAGUUGCCCUAAAACUCAUCUGCAGUGCAUUAUCUUCUGGCAAACAUGAUCGAAUUCCCCUCUGAGCCAGGCACUUUGUUGGUCGCUGAGGGUGUCAACACGCACAGAACACAAACUCACAAUAUUUGCUUCUCUUCACUGUGCUUCAGCAGCCUUCAAGGCCACACUGGUUCCUCGGUGUGGGUCUCCAUUUCCGAUCCAUGUCGGCUACACUCAGCGCCUUCGGUCCAUACCUCUGUGGUUAGCACUUGCCUUAUUCCUGCUCCCAGAGGAUAUGCCUGGUGUCUCAUCUCAGCCGUUCCCCAACGUGUUCUUGAGUUAUUAGUCAAAUCGGCUCAUCACCCAGCUAAGAAGCCUCUUGGUCACAUCAUCUUGAUUCCCCUCCAUGCACGACAGUCUCUCUAAACCUUAGUUUUCUCGUCUCUUUGGAAGUUUGGAAUAUAUUGUACGUGGUUUUAUGGGACAGUAAUUUUUUUAGAAUGGAAUACUGCCGGGGGAAAAUGAGUGGCUCCCUUCAGUUGGUGGAGUCUUGCCAGAUAAGACUCGGGAUGAGGCUGAGGUGCCCAUCCAACAAUGGAGCCCUGGUAAGACGUUACCCCGUCUCGUGCAGUGUGGUUUAAAGACUCGGGUACAGACAAUGGAGAAGCAUGGCAAUGAAGACUCUGAUCAUGGAACUGUUUUCAACAAUGUCUGGUGACAUCAAUUUGUGAAUUGUUAUUUUCAAGUUGGAUUUGCGAGUUAAUUUGUAGGGGUCCAAAUGUAGACACGUUGCCUCUUCUCUGGCAUGUAUGUUAUCCAUGAUACAUUUCAUAUGUGUGGUCCCAGCACAGGGGGCCUGACACAGGGAAGGGGCACUUCGAACAUGUAGACAUCUAUGAACAGAAGAAAUGCUGACCUCAACCUGUGAUACCUCCAAAGCAUUCUAUCUUCAAUCCCAGAAAUCUGGGGAAAUGAGGACUUGAGAUCUGUCCAAUGAGAAUGACCACACCCGACUCACAGUUAUUGAGAUCAGUGAACGUAAAUACAAGGACGAGCCGUUAACUCUAAUGGAAGGUCUGUUCUUGACAACUGGACUUCCAAUUAAUAAUCUGGUCGGUGAUUAAAUCUGCUAUUGAUUCCCCAUCAAGGAGCUCAAGGUAUUUGGGUGCUCUUUCGAUCUCAAAAGAGGCAGAGGCGCCUUCUGUUUGUCUACGUCUUAACUUAGCUUUGCCAUUGGGAAUAUGCGGUUGUGGAGAAGUCUUUAAACGCUUCUACUGUGAGCUGUCGGAAAGUUUGCUCUAACUUCUCAGGUCUCCCGUCCGGUGUGUCCAAAUAAGUGCAACAGAACGAGGAGGAUAUUAUGUCCUGAUCACAGCACUAACCCUUUUUCUUCCGUGCCUCACCUAAAGGACAGUUUCAGGACAACGUUGACUUAAAUGGGUGCCGGGCAGACAUGUCCAGUGUCCUGAGGCACAUUUGUCCACUUCAGCUACACUGUAACUGGCACAGCCACUGAAAGAUGAUAAGUCAAGGUCACCAGGAGCCCAAGAUUGCCGCAGUGGGUCAGAUUGACAUCUUUGGGCCAUAUAUCUAAUUCCGGACUGAUGAUUUGUUAAUGGGGAGUUCUGCAUCUCUCCAGCCUUCUCUAUGGGCUUUGCUCACAAAGAGAAAUGAUAACACAGAAAUACGUAGGAAACCAGCUUCUGAAAGUGGCUCUAGAGUUCUCCCUUUUUUUUUUUUUCUUAAUUUAAAAGACCGUGGAGCCAACAGAGAGCUUAAAUAAUGCCUAUUGAGUUUCUUUGCAAGGAAGAAUAAACAUGCAAUAAAUAAAUGCAUAUUGAGUUUCUUUGGAAGAAAGAUACUAUUAAGGAGAAUGCUUGGCUGGCCACCUGGAAAUACAUGCAUUUUGAAUUCGGUUCCCUUGAGCAAAGCAUUCAGGUUAGGCCUCCUUUCUUAAUUAAUAACAGAACUGCUCUCUUUGAGAAGUAAGGUAGCUAUGGCACCAAAUAAGAACUACAACUGAGCUGUUGCAUUUUUAGAUGCCCUGUGUAACAUUCCUACUUGAGACAGAGGCAGAAAGGCUGUAAUUAUGUAUGUAGAGAGUAAUUAUGGCAACAGUUGACGGAAAUAAGAUGCUGGGGGCAGAAAGAACAUGGAGAGCAAAGGUAGCUAACUAGUUUUAUUAGGCCCCACACAGUGCCCAGUGUCUAAAGAGAUACGGUUUUGCAAUGAAUUACCAGUAUUUGAAAACCAGGCAGCUUCACGUAAAAAUCCAAACUCCUGCCAUCUCUUGGAAGAACUCCUGGCUUUCAUUCUGCUGCGGCACCUGUCAGAGAUGCUCCGCCCCCUUCGCCAGCCCACGCCCACUAGCUUCCUACCUGUAGGCAUUGGAGUCUUUUUUUUUUUUAUAUAUGAAAUUUAUUGACAAACUGGUUUCCAUACAACACCCAGUGCUCAUCCCAAAAGGUGCCCUCCUCAAUA